rnacentral:lncRNA from 10 species
CUUCAAUCUGAGCUGGGCCCUUGCAGUGAGGAGCCCACGGUUACCUGGCUGUUCCCUGCCCGCCACCUCCCUCCAGGCAGGAGGCCCAAGCCCUGACAACAGAGGUGAGAGAGGCUGUGCCAGCCCUUCUCUGGGCAUGUCUGGGCUCAAGGGCCAGGCUCUGUCUCCAGUCUAGGGCCAAGCUGGGGCCUGUGGCAGGAUCAGAUAGAGGCUACCCACAUGACGCCACUACACGUGAAGUUGUGAAGAGAUGUGCAGAAUUGGCUCCAGCACCCCCCGUACCUGUUCCAGGACAGUCCCGUUGCCUUCCACGGGGCCCAGAAAGGGGCUGGGGUCCUGCUGGCUUGCCAAGUUAGGGUACCCUUGAGGACUUCCUGUCCUGCCCUUGUGCCUGUUGGUGUGACUGUGAUUAUGAUUGUGGCUAUAGUUGACAUUGUGAUUGUGAUGGUUGAAGCUUCAGUUACUGGUGUGUUUUCAGUGACGGGGAGAAGAGGCCAGUGAAGUAAAUGCCUCUGUCACUCAAGGGACACGGCCAGGUGCCCAGGGGUAUGAGGGCCAAUUAGGGCCCAGGGUCCUCAGGGCUGUGUUGUGGCUCUAUGCAGGAAACUGGAAACCUGAUGUGACCUAAUGAACACAUCUCCUGCCACUCUCCCCUUCCUCCACUGUGCAGUGAUGACCUGGCCUCAUGCUGCAUUGAGGAGACAGGAGCCCAGCUGUGGGACGCGCUCACCUUUCCAUGGUGUAAUCUGUAUUCCUACCUGCACCGUGCCCUUCUUCUUCUCCUUCCUGACUCACAUCUGAGGUUGGGUCCCUCCUCUUAUCAAAGGACAGUCUUUUUUUUUUUUUUUUUUUUUUUGAGACGGAGUCUUGCUCUCUAGCUCAGACCGGAGUGCAGUGACGCGAUCUCAGCUCACUGCAACUUCUGCCUCCCAAGUUCGAGCAAUUCUCCUGCCUCAGCCUUCUGAGUAGCUGGGAUUACAGGUGUGCACCACCACGCCCAGCUAAUCUUUUUGUAUUUUUAGUAAAGAUGGGGUUUCACCAUGUUGGCCAGGCUAGUCUCGAACUCCUGACCUCAAGUGAUCCUCCCGCCUCUGCCUCCCAAAGUGCUGGGAUUACAGGCGUGAGCUACCACGCCAGGCCUAAAGGACAGUCCUUAGUGACUUCCCAUUGGCUGGAAUAAAAUGCUGAUUCUUUACGGGAUGACUUUAGCCUCAUCUCCCCCUUCCACCCCCGGCUCCUUGUGUUUCAGCUUCGAUUGGCCCCUUUUCUGUUCUACAAGCACAACAAGCUUGUUCCUACCUCAGGGACUUGGAGCCCACAGUUGCCUCCCAGUCUCUGCGUGUCUGGUUACUCAUCGUCCCAGUCUUGGCCCAAAGAGCCCUUCCCUGACCUUUCCCUCUAAAGGGGGCUCCCCAGUUACUCUCCAUGUUUUCACCUUUGUUGUGGUCAGCCCAGCACUGAUGGGUCACCUUGUUUACUGCAGUGUGACUUGUUUCAGGGUCUUCCCCACUAGAGUGUAAGCUCCAUGAGGGCAGCGUGCUCAUUGUCUGUGGUACCUGGAAUCUGGCUGGUACCAGAUAAAUGCA